rnacentral:tmRNA from 1 species
GGGGACGUCUGGAUUUGACAGGAUGUUCGAUUAAUACAGGUUGCGUGUCCGAGCGCUGUUCUCGGUUAUCAACGAGCAAACUAAAUUAAAUGCUAAAAAUACAGAUAACGUAAUCGUAGGCCGUUUCGGCGCAGACAGAUAUGCAUUAGCUGCAUAGUCCGAUUACUAUAGCUACUUUAUUGACCCAGCUUGCCGGUUAAUAGAGUCCACGAUGCAAGACGCAGUAUGUUGAUGAUGGUAGGCAUAUCAAGACAACUAUCAGUGGUUUAGAGUUUCCACCAAAUAAAACCUAGGGCUGAUUUAAGGGUAGUGAUAUUUUCCUGAAUCAGUUGAGCGAAUUAAUAUCUACACACGUAGAAGCAGGUGUUGGUCCAUUUUGGACGUGGGUUCGAGUCCCACCGUCUCCACCA